rnacentral:rRNA from 1 species
AUUGAACGCUAGCGGGAUGCCUUACACAUGCAAGUCGAACGGAGUGGCGAACGGGUGAGUAAUGUAUCGGAACGUGCCCAGUAGCGGGGGAUAACUACGCGAAAGCGUAGCUAAUACCGCAUACUAUUGGAGCGGCCGAUAUCGGAUUAGCUAGUUGGUGGGGGAACGGCUCACCAAGGCGACGAUCCGUAGCUGGUUUGAGAGGACGACCCGCCAAACUGGGACUGGGACCAGGCCCCGACUCCUACGGGAGGCAGGCGGGGGGAAUUUUGGGAAAUGGGGGAAACCCGGAUCCCGCCAUCCCGCGUGUGCGAUGAAGGCCUUCGGGUUGUAAAGCACUUUUGGCAGGAAAGCGGUACCUGCAGAAUAAGCACCGGCUAACUACGUGCCAGCAGCCGCGGUAAUUC